rnacentral:rRNA from 1 species
GAUGAGCCAGAUUUGGAAGUUUAGAUUAAAGCUUCAAAAUGAUUUUAACUGAAGAGUUUGAUCAUGGCUCAGAUUGAACGCUGGCGGCAGGCUUAACACAUGCAAGUCGAGCGGGCGAGGUUGCUUCGGUAACUGAGCUAGCGGCGGACGGGUGAGUA